UGGUCAAACGUGGACUCAAAUUCAAGUCUUUUGUCGACGAAUGCGUGCCGAGGAUCAAGCUUGGGAAACGUUAAAAAAUGUAAAACCAAAAGCCAUGUCCAAAAGCAGAAAGCUUUGGGAGGAGGUACCGUAAUCCGACAGAGAACUUUUGUUUCAUAGAACCGCCAUUGAAGGUGAAGAGAGAGAGAGGACCCGCAGCGACUUCUCUGCCUACUCGCUACCAGCAUUAAAAAUCCCAACUUUGCAGUUAUUUCUCCUGUAUCUAGCGCCUCCCACCGAAAAACUCUCUCUCUCUCUCUCAAAUCCCAGCAUUGCUAGAAACUUUCUUUAAGUAGGGGGAGGAGGACAGGGUAAAGCUGUUCCAAGUGAGAAUUCAGAAGCUGGGUGUCUCAGAAAACUGCAGCUAGCAGCUGGGUAACAUUAUCUCGGGUUGGAACCCCAUUUAAAGUGCGUGAGAAAUGGAGGUCACAAAACUAAGAAAAGCAGGAUCUUUCAGGUCCUCUUCAUGAUUUCAAGGAUUGAGGAAG